rnacentral:rRNA from 1 species
AUCCCGCCGGAGGUCACUGCUAUUGGGAUUCGACUAAGCCAUGCGAGUCGAGAGGGUUCGGCCCUCGGCUGACGGCUCAGUAACACGUGGAUAAUCUGCCCUAAGGUGGAGGAUAACCUCGGGAAACUGAGAAUAAUACUCCAUAGGUCUAAGAUGCUGGAAUGCAUUUAGACUGAAAACUCCGGUGCCUUAGGAUGAGUCUGCGGACUAUCAGGUUGUAGUCAGGGUAAAGACCUGACUAGCCUACGACGGAUACGGGUUGUGAGAGCAAUAACCCGGAGAUGAUAUCUGAGACACGAUAUCAGGCCCUACGGGGCGCAGCAGGCGCGAAAACUUCACAAUGUGCGAAAGCGCGAUGAGGGAAUCCCAAGUGCUUGCACGUAAGUGUAAGCUGUUUCUUUGUUUAAAAAGCAUAGAGAGUAAGGGCUGGGUAAGACGGGUGCCAGCCGCCGCGGUAAUACCUGCAGCUCAAGUGGUGAUCGUUAUUAUUGGGCCUAAAACGUCCGUAGCCGGUUUAGUAAAUGCCUGGGUAAAUUGUGUAGCUCAACUAUACGAAUUCCGGGUAGACUGCUAAACUUGAGACCGGGAGAGGCUAGAGGUACUCCUGGGGUAGAGGUGAAAUUCUGUAAUCCUAGGGGGACCACCAGUGGCGAAGGCGUCUAGCUAGAACGGGUCUGACGGUGAGGGACGAAGCCCUGGGGCGCAAACCGGAUUAGAUACCCGGGUAGUCCAGGGUGUAAACGCUGCUUGCUUUGAUGUUAGUCGGGCUCCGAGCCCGAUUAGUGUCGGAGAGAAGUUGUUAAGCAAGCUGCCUGGGAAGUACGGUCGCAAGACUGAAACUUAAAGGAAUUGGCGGGGGAGCACAGCAACGGGUGGAGCGUGCGGUUUAAUUGGAUUCAACGCCGGGAAAUCACUAGUGCGGCCGCCUGCAUGUCGACCAUAUGGGAGAG